rnacentral:tRNA from 1 species
GGGGGUUUAGCUCAUUUGGUAAAGCGCCGGCUUUGCAAGCAGGAUGUCAGGAGUUCAAGUCUCCUAACCUCC